CUGCAGAUGAACCAAAACAUCGUCCUGAAAAAUGAUGCUUUGUUUUUUGCUUUUGCUUUCUUCUCUUGCUUGUGUGAGUUUUGGGAAUGUCAUCACACCAGUUGAAACUCAUAUGUUUGAGACAGAAGGAUACAUUUGUUCUUCAUACCACUGGGGCAGUUUUACAAAAAUCUAAAGUUUUGGAUCAAGAUCCUCGAUUCUCUGCUAAACUAAAUGAAAAGAAAACCCAUGUGUAUCUGGAGAUCUCCUCUGCU